UAUCUGGAAGGCUGUGGUGCAAGGCCAUUUUUGCUGGCUCUAAGUGAGGUCUCCGGCACCAAGGAGAGCACAGAGCUCUUCUCAAAGAGUUGAAAGUUGAAGCUGAGUUCUCCUUAGGUAAGAAAUGUGCUUAUGUGUUUAAAACAAAAAUAACAGUGACUCCUGGAGGCAAACUGAACCAAACCAACCUAAACCAGACUGAUCUGGGAAAGGUAACUCUGGUUCCUGGCCCACGGACACAGAGGGCUUCCUGCAAAGGCCACUGGACACAAAAUCUAUAAGAUACUGUAGCCUUUCCAGA
rnacentral:lncRNA from 1 species